UACGGAGGGGGCUAGCGUUGUUCGGAAUUACUGGGCGUAAAGCGCACGUAGGCGGCUUUGUAAGUUAGAGGUGAAAGCCCGGGGCUCAACUCCGGAAUUGCCUUUAAGACUGCAUCGCUAGAAUUGUGGAGAGGUAAGUGGAAUUCCGAGUGUAGAGGUGAAAUUCGUAGAUAUCGGAAAGAACACCAGUGGCGAAGGCGACUUACUGGACACAUAUUGACGCUGAGG
rnacentral:rRNA from 1 species